GGGACCUAGCAUAAGACCGGAAACCGCCCCCCCCCACACACACACAUGAUAUUUGCCAGUCCAGGCAAUGUCAACCGCAAGAGAAAACCAGUGAUGACAAGUUUUACAAAUAAUCGGAAAGUGUGGUCUUUUGAAGAGAGUUCUUGAAGGUGUUCAGCAUGUUGUUUUGAUGGAUUCUUGGAAGGAUGUACCUCUAUGAUGAUAGCUUCAGUUCUGGAGUAUAACACCAGUUGUUGCAUAUUUAAUAUCAGAUUUAUUAAAUACAUUGUUGUUUUGCAAACAUUACUUAAACUUUGAUAUUUCUUUGGUGUUUAUGUAUGAUAUUGUAGGUGAAUAUCUCUUUAUUGCAAUGGCAAAUAUAUUUUAAAAUAUA